UAAAAUAAUUAAGGGCACACAAAGGAUGCCUAGGUAGUAAGAGCCGAUGAAGGACGUGGUAAGCUGCGAUAAGCCUAGAUAAGUUGCAAUCGAACGUAAGAGUCUAGGAUUUCCGAAUGGAGCAAUCUAUUAAGAUGGAGUCUUAAUACGAAAGAGGGAACCGCGUGAACUGAAACAUCUAAGUAACGCGAGGAAAAGAAAGUAAAAACGAUACCCAAAGUAGCGGCGAGCGAAAUGGGUCAAGCCUAAACCUUAAAUAUGUCAAGGAUACAGCCGUUGUAUUUAAGGGGUUGUGGGACAGAGUGAUGAAGAACUGUAAGAUAUUCAAUAUAGUGUAUUGAUGAAUUAGAAUUGUCUGGAAAGGUGAACCGCAGAAGGUGAAAGUCCUGUAUAAGUAAAUCCUUACACAUAUAACUUUGCUCCCAAGUAACAUGGAACACGAGGAAUUCUGUGUGAAUCUGUGAGGACCAUAUCUCAUAAGGCUAAAUACUCUUACUAACCGAUAGCGCAUAGUACCGUGAGGGAAAGGUGAAAAGAACCCCUGGAGGGGAGUGAAAUAGAACCUGAAAUUGUGUGCUUACAAGCGGUCAGAGCCCAUUUGGGUGAUGGCGUGCCUUUUGGAGAAUGAUCCUGCGAGUUACGUUAAACGGCGAGGUUAAGUAUAACGGAGCCGAAGGGAAACCAAGUCUUAAUAGGGCGAUUUAGUCGUUUGGCGUAGACGCGAAACCUGGUGAUCUAAACCUGUCCAGGAUGAAGCUGUGGUAAGACACAGUGGAGGUCCUAACCCACCGCCGUUGAAAAGUUGGGGGAUGAGGUAGGUUUAGGGGUGAAAAGCCAAUCGAACUAGGAGAUAGCUCGUUCUCUCCGAAAUGCAUCUAGGUGCAGCCUUGAGUGUUCAAUUAUGGGGGUAGAGCACUGAAUGAUCUAGGGGGCAUAUUGCUUACUGAAAUCAAUCAAACUCCGAAUACCAUAAUUUAUAGCUCAGGAGUGAGACUAUGGGAGUUAACUUCCAUUGUCAAAAGGGAAACAACCCAGACCACCAGCUAAGGUCCCUAAUUAUAACUAAGUGGGAAAGGAGGUGGAGAUUCACAAACAACUAGGAGGUUGGCUUAGAAGCAGCCAUACCUUUAAAGAGUGCGUAAUAGCUCACUAGUCGAGAGUCUCUGCGCCGACAAUGUAACGGGGCUAAGUUAUAAACCGAAGCUGUGGAAUCCUUUUGGAUUGGUAGGAGAGCGUUCUGUAGGCCGUUGAAGAAGAAGGGUAACCAACUUUGGAGGUAUCAGAAGUGAGAAUGCAGGAAUAAGUAGCGAGAAAGGGGGCGAGAAUCCCCCUCGCCGGAAGACCAAGGUUUUCAGGGUAAAGCUUGUCUUCCCUGAGUAAGCCGGGACCUAAGCCCAGGCUAUAAUGCGUAGGCGAAUGGAAAACAGAUUAAUAUUUCUGUGCCAGUCAUUUAUUGUGAUGGAGGGACGCAGAAGGGUAUGCGCGCGGACGAUCGGUUGUGUCCGUAGAAGUAUGUAGGGUGACUUAGUAGGUAAAUCCAUUAAGUUAUAUCUGAGGUAUGAUAUACAGUCGUAAGAUGAAUGCGCAAAUCCCACGCUGCCAAGAAAAGCUUCUAACGUUAAUAUAUGACUGCCCGUACUGUAAACCGACACAGGUGGUCAGGAUGAGAAAUCUAAGGCGGACAGGCUAACUCUCGUUAAGGAACUCUGCAAAAUAACCUCGUAACUUCGGGAGAAGAGGAGCCCUUGAGUGUUAGUAUCCAUGCGAUACAAAGCGCUCGAGGGUCGCAGUGAAGAGGCUCAAGCAACUGUUUAACAAAAACACAGGUCUAUGCUAAGCUGGAAGGCGAUGUAUAUGGGCUGACACCUGCCCAGUGCUGGAAGGUUAAGAGGAGGAGUGAGAGCUCCGAAUUGAAGCCCCAGUGAACGGCGGCCGUAACUAUAACGGUCCUAAGGUAGCGAAAUUCCUUGUCGGG
rnacentral:rRNA from 1 species